rnacentral:misc_RNA from 1 species
CCUCCUUAUACGAUUUAGAACUUAUUUGUUCGUAGUGUCCACACAGAUGAUUGUUAGUUAGUUUUACCCUCUGGGUUAACUAAUUAAUAUGCUCUUUAAAAAUUUGGAAAAGCUGAUAAUAAAAUUCGUAUGAAUAACAAUGUUAUUUGUACAGAGUUUUCAAAAGUAAAAAAGAAUGAUAGCAGUAUCAUUCAGUGCCAUUUAAUUGUUUCAUUGAAAUAAUUGAUUGGUAUCUACUUUAGUAUUCAAUAUUAACUUCUGGCGAAGUUAAACUGUCACAAAACAAAGACCCGUUUGGGUUGUAUGGUUAAGUGACUAAGCGUACACGGUGGAUGCCUUGGCAGUUGGAGGCGAUGAAGGACGUAUUAACUUGCGAUAAGCCUAGUCAAGCUAGUAAAAAGCGCUUGAGACUAGGAUUUCCGAAUGGGGAAACCAAGA